UACGAGUGCCCCGAGCGUUAUCCGGAAUUAUUGGGCGUAAAGGGUGUGUAGGCGGUUGUGUUAGUCUUAUGUUAAAUUCUUCGGCUUAACCGGGGCAUGGCGUAGGAAACGGCACAACUAGAGGAUGCGAGAGGUGAAUGGAACUCAUGGAGUAGGGGUGAAAUCCGUUGAUAUCAUGGGGAACACCAAAUGCGAAGGCAAUUCACUGGCGCACUCCUGACGCUGAGACACGAAAGCGUAGGUAGCGAAUGGGA
rnacentral:rRNA from 1 species